rnacentral:rRNA from 1 species
AUUGAACGCUGGCGGCAUGCUUUACACAUGCAAGUCGAACGGCAGCACGGGUGCUUGUACCUGGUGGCGAGUGGCGAACGGGUGAGUAAUACAUCGGAACGUACCUUAUCGUGGGGGAUAACGCAGCGAAAGUUGCGCUAAUACCGCAUACGCCCUGAGGGGGAAAGGGGGGGACCGCCAGGCCUCACGCGAUUAGAGCGGCCGAUGUCUGAUUAGCUAGUUGGUAGGGUAAAGGCCUACCAAGGCUUCGAUCAGUUGCGGGUCUGAGAGGAGGAUCAGCCACACUGGGACUGAGACACGGCCCAGACUCCGACGGGAGGCAGCAGUAGGGAAUUUUGGACAAUGGGGGCAACCCUGAUCCAGCAAUGCCGCGUGAGUGAAGAAGGCCUUCGGGUUGUAAAGCUCUUUUGUCAGGGAAGAAACAGCAGCUCUAAUACAGCAUGCGAAUGACGGUACCUGAAGAAUAAGCACCGGCUAACUACGUGCCAGCCGCCGCGGUAA